rnacentral:lncRNA from 10 species
GUCCUCCAGCCUCCUCCACGUCAUCACAGAUGACAGGACGGCCUUCUUUUUAAAGGCUGUAGCAUGCUCUGUCAUGUCUAUACCACACCCUGCUUGUCUGCUCGUCUGCCAAGCAGCCCUUGGGAUGGUUCCUUUCUUGGCUGUUGUGAGCAGGUCCGACACAUCUCAAUGAUGUACUGAUUUCCUUUCCUUUGCAUAGGUACCCGUUGAUGGGGUUGCAGGAUCAUAUGGUAGUUUUAUUUUUAAUUUUUUGAGGAACCUGCAUACUGUCCUCCCCGGAAGCUAACUGACUUUCCCCCCAACUGCGAGCAAGUGUUGCUGCUCCACACCCAGUGCCAGGGGUAGCAGGGGACAGCGGACUUCCCUGAGCUGCCGCGAAGGCCAGGGUCCAGGCACAGGAGGGGAAGUGCAUCACAGUUAAACACUCACCCUAGGACAACCUCUAGGAGGUCAGCAUUGUAGUAGUACAAAUGUCUUUUAAAUAUACAUUUAUCUAAAUUUAAGAGAGAAGCUAAUUUUAAAGAAAUACGUUAAAUAAAUAACAAGGUAGGCAUUUUCCAAGGUAGGCAUGAUGGAGAUUUGGCAAAAGUCAUGAGGAUGCACAUGUGAGUGAUGUUUGGGAAUCCCUGAAAUAAUGCAAAGGGCCUUGGCCUGUUCUAGCCCCAGCUCCAGCCCAGGUAGCAGUGGCCCAUCUGCCACCUGUUCCAGGAGCAUGUUGAGAAUUCGAAGUGAUCACUGUCCCAGGCACUUGCCUAGGAACACCUGGAGUUGUGUGGAGCAUGUUUCAGAGACUGCACCCAGGAGCUCAGUGUAAGAACUUGCUCCUGAUGGUGCCAGCCCAGGCCCAGCCUGCCCUGCUGUAUCUCAGAAAGCUCCUGAAGCAGGAACCCUACCUUUCUGCCAGGAUGACACAAGCAAAGAAUGUCAGGCUCAUAAUCUUGGCUUCAGAUACACACACAUAAAAAUAAUCACAUUCUUAAGUCCUAUGAUCAGGUACUGUGUCUCCAUGAUCUCCAAUGAAUAGUCCCAAAUGUUAGCUUAUGAAAAAUGCACAGACUCUGUGGUUAAAUACGGACAUUGUAGAGAGUUUAUAAACAGGUGGAAGACCCAUCGCUGGGUUACCCUGGGGAGAAACGGUCUUUAUCCUGAGAUCAUGUCCUUCCUGCUGUGUGAUGGAAUGACAGUGACAGUAGAGGGUGAUGUAUUUGUUGGGGUUAGUCUUU